rnacentral:rRNA from 1 species
AUGAACGCUGGCGGCGUGGAUAAGGCAUGCAAGUCGAACGGUCCGCCUCUCGCAAGAGAGGCGAGAUAGUGGCGAACGAGUUAGUAAUACCUUGGUACGUACCCCGAAGUCUGGCAUAAUCCGCCGAAAGGCGGACUAAUUCCAGAUGGUAUGGAAACAUUAAAGAAGCAAUUCGCUUCGGGAGCGGCCUAGGUCCUAUCAGCUUGUUGGUGAGGUAACGGCUCACCAAGGCUAUGACGGGUAGGGGGUGUGAGAGCACGGCCCCCAACGGGGAUACUGCGACACGGAUCCCACACCUACGGGUGGCAGCAGUCGAGAAUAUUCGACAAUGGGCGAAAGCCUGAUCGAGCGACGCCGCGUGCAGGAAGACGGCCUUCGGGUUGUAAACUGCUUUUGCGUGGGAAGAAUCUCGCUUAUGCGAGAGUGACGGUACCACGAGAAUAAGGGGUUGCUAACUCUGU